UUUUUGCAAAUACCUUGUUGAUAUUUUACUGAUUGAAUUAACGUUUUCUGCAUUAUUGUCCAGGUAAUUAUUUGUUCUCUGGAUUUAAAAGCUAUCCAUGCAAUCUGACAAUAUGUUGACAUUGUUCCUGAAAAACAGAAAUAUGAUAAGUUGGUGAAGUUGCCGGAGGACAUAAUGGAUGGCGGCAGAAUAAUGAUCUUCAUGGAUGCCAAGAAAUGAGGUGAUCAGAUAACAAGGCAACUCCGUAUGGAUGGUUGGCCUUCACUUUCAAUUCACGGAGACAAAAGUCAAGCAGAAAGGGAUUGGGUGUUCUCAGAGUUUAGAUCUGGAAAGAGUCCUAUCAUGACUGCAAUAUAUGUUGCAGCUCGUGGUCUAGGUUUGCAGACUGCUUAAUCAAAUAUUUAAUGAAUUUACUUUUUGGCUCUAGUUGUAAAGCUAGUCAGUGCUUUUCUGAAGGGAAAGUAUUGACAUUGAAUACGCAACUGUUGGCGUUCGCGCGCACAUAUAUAUGUACAUUAAGUACUAAUUCUGUUUCUGUUUCAUCAUCCUCUUGUCCUUCCAUUUCGGGCCAUCCAUAAUUACUAAAUUUUGUGUUGAAAUACUAUUGCCAACCAUUUUAACUGUAACUUGUCAGGUCAUGAUCAUAAACUUCCUCUUUCCUAUGCCUGUAAUUUAUUUAGUGUCUACAACAAAUAGUCUAGCGUUAGCUUGGUGUGGUAUAUUUCCUUAUAUAUGCUGUUGGCUUGCUGUCUCAUCUAUACAACUUUUUGUGAUCGAUAAAUCUUCUGCUUGAUUUAACUGCCUUCUCAAAAGGGAAUUGCAUUCUGCCACGGGUGACCAACCAUCCAUCUCAUUUCAUUUUAGAGUCAUUCAUAACUUUGUUGUUUCAGUGGCAAAAUCCAACUCUCUUUGACAUAUGGCUUCAACUUUUAUGGUUCAAAUCAUUGAAUUUUGUCCUAUGUGCCUAUCAAUCUGACCUUGCACCCAUAGAAAACAAAAUCAGUCUGUGGUUGUCUUAGAAAAACUCUUUGCACAGUGGCUGUGUAUCCUGAUCCUUUCCGUGGUCUGGGAUGCUGCAGAUGUGAAGGACGUGAAGUAUGUAAUAAAACUAUGACUUCCCAGAAUCCCUGGAAGACUAUGUUCAUCGCAUUGGUUGAACUGGCAGGGCUGGUGCAAAAGGAACUGCACACACAUUCUUCACAGCUGCUAAUGCCAGAUUUGCCGAGGAACUUAUAGCCAUACUUGAGGAAGCUGGACAGAAAGUGAGUUCUGAAUUGGCCAGCAAUGGAACGUGGUGCACCUCCUCCACCUUCAGGCUACGGAGGCUUCCGAGACCGCGGAAGGGGUUAUGGUAGCGGUCGUACAUGAGCUGAUUGAUGAAUACGGAAAGCGAGUUGAGAGACUAACGGAGAAAACCCCAACAAACACGUGGCUUGAUAUUACUAUUGACACCUGUCUUACGGACUAUGUUGACUUGUAAAAGCAGUGAUAGGAAUUCAGUUUUUCCCCAAUUUUAGUUGCACAAUUUUUCCUUUUGGGUUCAAAUUUGCUUCUUUCAAAAUCAAAUGUCCGUAAAGCGUGUAGAGGCCAUUUAUUUAUGUAGCAUCAAGCUUUUGUUUAUAGUUUAUACCUAGUAGUUCAUGCCAACACUUGAUGAAGACAAGGUUGUCGUUAAAUCUUUCAGGUGCAAGAUCUAUUCCAAAAAGAAUAGCCAUUACAUUCAUGUGUGCUAAAAUUGAU